UGGCUGAAUGGUAAAGCGCUCAGCUUCUGAACUGGAAGUCCCGGGUUCAAAUCCUGG
rnacentral:tRNA from 1 species